CUGCUCUGAGGGACAUCUGGCAUCUGUUUAUUUGUGUGCUGAGAGCUUGCUUCAGUGAACUGCUGAUGGAAGAGUUCAGCAUUUCUCUGCUCAUCAGAGCUGGUUUAUUUGUUUAAUCAGCAACUCUGUGCUCUUGGUUGUCUGUGCCCUGUGAAGCUGGGACUGUGCUUCCACAUCAGUAUUAGAGAAGGAUUACGUUGCAAUUCAGCUGGAUCUUUCCAUUCAACAUGCAGCUAUGCCUACUUUUUCAUUUGUGUUAGGCCAGACCGUCACAUUGCAACAAAGCUACAUCAGCUUAUGCUGGGUGAGGGGUCCUGCAAAUGCUUCAAAGUACUGCCAAAAUAAUCCCCUGAUAGAUUAACUGCCCACAGCUGUCAGUGAUCAAUGCAGUCACUCUCAGGUGAGUCUGUGGAGAGAAAGAGGGGGAAGCCACUGACCACACCAUUGCUUGGAGGAGUAACACGUGUGCUUCUUCCUUUGCCUAUUGCCGUCUUUGGGGAGGAACAGGAAGAAAAUUACCUUCAAGAAAUGGUUGAAUGUAGAAUUUUUAAAGGUCUAGAGAGGUUAUGUCAGACAGGACUGGUAAUGCCAUGCAACCAUAAUGGAUGCACUCUUCUAAAUGAAAAUAAUUUGGAGUGGCAAAUGUAGAAAGGGUGGCAGAAUAAGUAUAAAUAAGACAAAGAAGGCUGAGGUCCAUGUGGAAUCAAUUGUUGCUAUGGAUGUCAGGGACAGCAGGAAAUAUAUGUCAAUAACAAAAGGAGAAUUAAGGAUAACACGAGCCUGUUGGCAAAUGAAGGAUGGGCCCUGAUAACAGAAGCACUGAAUGCCUUUUUUUGCAUUGGUCUUUACUGACAAGACCAGCCAUCAGGAAACCCUGACCUGGGAGCCCAGGGUAAAGGAGUGUUGGAAGACUUUUCCUUGGCUAAAGAGGAUUGGACUAGAGGACAUCCACAAGUCCGUGAGCCCAGGCAGGAUGCCUCCAUGAGUGCUGAGAGAGCUGGCAGAUACCGUACCGGGCUACUCACCAUCAUCUUUGUGGCAACGAGGAGAGGUACCUAAAAGAUUGGAAUGUGAAUGUGACCUCAGCCUUCAAAAAUGGCAAGAAGGAGAACCUAAGGAGCUACUGGCCAUUCAGCUUCACCCGAGCUCCUGGAAAAGGAAGGAGUACCUCAUUCUGGAGGCCUGCUGGAAAGCAUCUCUGUAGAGAAGGAGCUGGGAGCCCUGGUGGACAACAAGCUGUCCAUGAGCCAGCAGUGCCCUUGUGAACAAGAAGGACAAUAAGGUCCUGUGCUACAUUAAGAAGGGCACUGCCAGCAGGUCAAGAGAGGUGAUCCUGCCUCUCUGCUCAGCCCUGGUGAGGCCACAACUAGAGUGCUAUGUCCAGUUCUGGGCUCCUCAGGACAAGACAGACAUGGAGCUCCUGGAGUGGGUCCACCAAAGGGCUACGAAGAUGGAGAGCGGAUUGAAACGUCUCUCUUACAAGCAAAGACUGAGGGAGCUGGGCCUGUUCAGCCUCAAGAAGAGACCACUGAGAGGGGGACCUCAUUAAUGUAUUUAAGUAUCUUAAGGGAGAGUACCAAGAGGAUGAAGCCAGGCUGUUCUCUGCCAAAGCAAUAGAACAAGAGGCAAUGGGCAGAAACUGAUGCACGGUAAAUUCCGGCAGAACAAAAGGAAAAAAAUACGUUUUUACUCUGUGGCUGAGUGUGCACUGUAGCAGUUGUCAGAGAGGUUGUGGAAUCUUGCUCACUGCAGAUAUUUAAGAACCACCUGGAUGCAAUUCCAUGCCAUGUGCUCUAGGAUGACCCCACUUGAGCAUUAAGACACUCAAGCUGCCUGAAUUGGAGCACUGCCUGAAGGGACAGGUAUUAUGAAAAGAGCUGCCAAAGCCUCUGUGUCCAUGAAAGCCAAGUGGAAAACACAGUACCAGCUACUUCCAGAUCAUUUUCCGGAAUAGCAAGCACAGAUAUGAGUUUGCCCUGAUGCAGAAAGGACCACUGUCCCUGAUAAAUAUUGCUGGUGUGAGUGCCUGUUUCUGCAGCACACUUGUGCUCAGGGGUUGGAGCCUGAAUCUGAUCUGCUCCCAAAGCAACAGCCCGAGGACUGCCCAAAGCGCUGCAGGUGCUGAAGAAGUAGACUGCCAGCCACACAAAGCCAGCUCUACAGACCUCCUUACAUUAUAUGGGAAGCAACCAGCUGAGUGAUCCAUCAUUGCCAUUUCCACUUCCCUGAGACACACAGAACAGCCCACAGAGGCACAGGAACCAGCUGCAACACAGAACAGGCAGCCCCAGCCUGCAGCAUUGCUGGGUUACCUCCAAACUGUUCCAGAUGGGUUGUGGAAUAAACUGAACGACUGGCAAUAUUCACUGCUGCCUCCUUCCUGUAUGCUGCAAUGAGAGCAAGACUGCUUUUGGACAAAGAGCUCGAGUUUCCUAUUUCUACUGUGGUUCUUGUAAUGUGCUGAAAUAGAGUACACUGUAAAGUAGCCAACAGCAAGACCAAGUGUGGAGAUGGUGGCAAACAGAGUGCACGCUUUUUUGGCAAAAUAUCUGGAAGAUGACUUUAAAGCAGCUGAAACCUGACAUACACACAGCAACAGAAGAGAAAGGUGAACACUGAGGUUUGGAUGCACAAAGUGGUCUUAUGAGAUCUUAAUUUAUCAGUUGCUUCUAAGUAGCCUUCUGACUCCCACAUCAAGGUUCUCAGACCCUGUGAUUAUAAAAGGGUGGUGGCUGGAGCAAUCCCACUCUUUGUGGAAAUCCUAUGGAAUUGGUACCAGAGGAGAGGGAAUUCUGAUUUCUACACCUCUCCCUGCCACCCAAAUCUUUCAUUUGAACAGAGUGGAUACAAGAUGAGAAGGAAAUGGUAGAGUUGAAGCCUGAGAUCUAAAAAAAAAAAGAAAAUCUGUUGACCCAUAGAGAUCUAGGAUGAGCCAUGAGGAACUGAAUAACCGAAACAGAAGUAGAGCUACUCAGCGUAACUUGCUUCAUUGAAUUGAUGUACUCUGUGAGUAGAAAUAUACUUUUAUAAUAGGUAUAGUAACUAUAGGUGGCUCAGCUCUUUCAAAAUAGCAUGGGAAAAAAAAAAAAAUCAUGCUUUAGCCAUCCUCCAGAAUAUUUUUGUCAGUUUUUGGACUUCAAAAAUAACAAAGUGUUUUCUCCCCUCUUCUUCCUGCUAUAUGAAAUCCUCAGACAAACAAGAGAGUGACUAACACCCUUUGCUAUGGAAAGAAUGAAACUGAGUAUUUAGAGAGUUGCCAAAUGCAGAAUAAACAAACUGAUACAACAAUUUCCCCUCUCUAUCUAAUAUGGUGAUCUCAGUUGGAGUUUCAACAUCAGUCCUGAAAUCCUGAGACAGAACAGUCUUCCAAACAAAUAACAUCUCUUUGAAUGUCAUUUUAGAAGAAGCAGCUUACUCUGCUGAAAAGUGGAAGCUGCUGAUACCACAAUAUUAUCCUCUCAUGGUAACAGUAUCAUCUCUUUUCAUGCAAUGUAACUGUUUCUUCCUUAGUAAUUUAAGCCAUGGAGCCCUGUGACUGCAAUUUGUGAUUCUAAGACGGUUCUCGGAAUAUUUCCCAGCACUCUCAGUGAUUGGCAACUCUGUAAAAAGCGAUAGCUAGCCCAACUAUCCAUCAAACAAAUGAGUGGUAAGUCAUUUGGAAUUUCUCCCAAUGCUAUUCAGUUUUCUGUUGAAUUUAAUUCUGUUGUGUGUAGGAGAGGUUUCCCAAAGGUUAAUAACUGUGUCAUUCUAUAUUUUGCUCAGAAAACGGAGAGCUAGAAAACCAUAUUUCAGCCUAAUUGUAUAUAAAAUACUUUUAAAAAUAGUCACCUUGAAUUAUGGAAACACAAAAAUGAAAUGUAUCUGAGGGCUUUUUAUUUUAUAUUUUCUUCAGAAUGAAUCAUUCAAGUUUGUUUAAGAAUGCUGCUUAAACUUUCUAGAAAUUUCAAAGGAUACUGGGUUUUGCUUUCCUCCCCUUUUAAAUUAAUCUACUGUUAACAUCAAAGAUAAGACUAGGAGAUACCUAGACUGGUCAUUCCUUAGUAUGAUCAGCCCACAACCCUUUGCUGGAGAGAAAUGCUUGCUACAAGUAGAAAUGAGAGGGCAUUCUUUCAUUUUGAGAUGUUGCCAACAGAAGGGGUACUGCUCUUUUCUGCGUGGACUAAACCUUCCUUGAAUACAGAGCACUUGGGUUAUGUUUCUGUCUGGUCCAGAUCAAUCUUCAACUACAUGUUCUACUUCCCAGGCACAUGCUAUAAGCAUUCUAUUGUGAGCUAUUCUUGGUGGGAAUGUUCUCCAUGGCUACUGUUGAAAUUUUGCCAUUUCCCAGAAAGGAAAGGAAGGAUUUCUGGUGCCAGAGCAUAAAAGUCAGUACUGAGACACUAUGGACUUUACAUGAACAUCAUCCAGAUUGUGAUCUUUAAAAAACAUAGAAACAACCCCUGGGGCAAGAAUCAAACCACAUUUCCUCCUUCCAGCUCACUUGUCUUAAAUAUUACACUCAUUUGCAGAAUAAAAUGGACCUCCUUCUCUACAAAGUGCUCACAAAAGCUAUGAAGAGAUGCCAAUUUAAAUAUUACAUUUUAACUCAGUGUAUGAGCUCCAUCAGUGAAGAACAGUCCCACAGAGAAGGAAGGCUCAAGGGAAACAGGCAGUCAGAAAAGAGAGUUCAGUAGUCUCAAGGCAAAGGGGCAGCUGGACCGAAAUGGUGUCCUUUCCACCGCUACCACACUCUAUUGCAGUCAGAUUUUUCCUUUCAAGUCUAGUCCUUGGACAACACUGAUGUGUUUGUGCCCCUCAUUCUGAGGUUCAACAAUGCUUCUAUCCAGAGCAAGCUGCCGCUGCCACUGAGUGAAGGAAUCCUACCUGCUUGCCCUCUCACUGUUGGUUUCUGUUCCUGUGUUUUGUCCUAUCUUGUAUCAAACAUUUAUGAGACCACAGUCUAAACUGGAUCAGGAAACUGAUGUGUCUGAAUGCUAGUGGUUAUUUUUCCUGAUGGGUUAGCUUCUAGCUAGGAGAAGAUCUCUGAGUUAGUGCCAUAGAGUCACAUGAACAUCUGUGUAAGCACAAAAGCUGGGGCUGCACAGGGCCAGGAACAGGCAACCAAGAGGGAGGAGUAGAGUGUGGAGUAGACAGAUCGGCUUCCAUUAGCAGUGCCUGUGUAUGCCAUCUUGUGUUGCUUAAGCCUUGCUCCAGGGAGCCUGGGGCUAGAUUUGCAGAAGUAUUCACAAUUACAAAUGAAUUCCUGGGGAGAUGUGCUUCUGGAAAAGAAGAGCUAUCCCUUCCUAACCACAUUGGAAAGCCAGGUGGUAGCUAUUCGAUCUACGAAAUGGGGAUAACAAUAUCACCUUACAGGAAAGGGCUAAAAAUGUAUUUGUUGCUCUUUGUGAAACACUCUGUUCUGAUGAACACUUCAGAUCAACCUAGCUGGCAACACAUCCACCUGUCUUCAGGGCUAGAGAACAACAGUUUGCAGAAAGGAAGGCAUGGAGCUGCACUCUGAUUUUCCAGGCUUCAGAGAAACUGGGGAGAAAAUUAUACAAUCAUGGAAUUGCAAUUCAUAUUAUAGAGUGGCUAUGCCUAAGAAAUUUGAAAUAAAGGUAUAUGCAGAUUGUAUUUGGGAUUUAUUACUUUUGAGUAUUUGAAUUUUCAUCCUUAAUCUUUUAAUGCAUGGGAAGGGAGUUUUUUUUAUUUAAUAAAGCAGAGAAAUUCUGCUUAUGUUGCUUUAAAAUACUUGAAUAGUAUAAUUUAAUGGCUGACAUUGUAUCACAUCACUUGCAAAUUUGAAACAAAGAACCUUUCUCCAGAAACUUCCCUUUUGUUUUACCUUCCUGUCAGGAAAGGAAAAUUUCUAAUUUUCCUUCUCUUUUCUUGCACUUUCUCCUAAGCCUGUAGCACUGUGAUUGCUUGACACAUUAUGCUGACUUACUGUACAUUGGUCUAACCAGCCAUGUUCUUGUUCCAGGUACUAAAUUAAAACCAAAAGGUAACAUCAAAAUAAUAUUUUUAAGUAUUCUGAUGUGCAUCCAAAUAAAACGUAGUUUUUUUUUUACAAAAAAACCUUUCAGCCAAGAUUAUUAACUGUGCCUUUAUUAUUAGAAGCCUUUUUGAUUCAUAAAGUUAAUGGCUAUGUCAUGCCUCUGUAAAUGCAGACUUGAGACAUGCUCUGAAUGUGUGUUUUGCAAUUCUUUUCUGAGGAAUUUACAGCUGUCUAGGUCCUAAGUGGCUCCCAUUAGUACAGUUUGUGGGCUUUUUUCUCUGUUCCAGUGGUUUGGCAGACCUUAGAAAUGCAUAAGAAUAACGCAGAUCCUUGCUAAUUGUGAGAAAGAGGCUGCUGACUGCAAAGCAGGACAGACAGGCUUGGCAGGAGGAAGCAGAAAUGUGGUUGGGUGCCUCUGUGAGCCCACAGCUGAGAGGUCACAAUUCUGGCCUGUCAGACUUGACACUGAUCAUUUCAUUUUGUACUUCCUACUUGACAAUCCCUUUGCACCAGCCUUCAGGCUCACCUGCACACUUUGCUCCAUGUGCUGCUUUAUUGCAUAUUCUCCUGCAUGCUUUAUUUUCAAAUUCUUUUUGAGGGAAAUCCUUCAAUAUUUCUACAAUGUUAAAUUUACCAAAGUGUGAAACAUUUCCUUGCAUUUAUAAAAAAAUUACAUUUUUCCCACCUCCAGCUAAUAUGUAUUUCUCACAUUGAGUUUUAAUGACUUCAAAUACUUUUAUGCCCUAUUGGUAAUUACCCGUGCCAAUUAAAUGGAACAGAUUUAAUUCAGGAUGAAUUCUUAUAAGCUGCAGAGAGUUUCGCUUUAAAAUGCCUCUGAAGUCCCUUAGAGAGUUCAAAUGAUUGUAUGAGUUGCCUAGAAUUAUAACUGGUGAAGUCAGGGAGUGUUUAUAUCUACUUGAUGUCAGAAAAGGCCUGAGUGAAAAAAAAAGAGAAAAAAACCACAGAAGUUAUAAUUCACAAGAUGUUGCCUUUCCUGCCAAUGCUGGCUAAAGAAGUUGCCUCUUGUCCCUGUCCCCAGUGCCCCAAAGCACAGCUGGCCUUUCCUUAUGGCAGUAUAACUGUUUGUGUGCUAUAAACUGGAUCACUGAAAUGAUCCAUAUGAAAGAUGGACUCUAAUCUCCAGGGCAAUAAUGCUAGAAAACACUCCAAGAACCUAAAGCCUUCUCCACAUACAGAGACUUCCUGAGAGAAUGAAUAUCCUGGAAUGCACUGAUCUUGGGCUCUACCAAAUCAUCUCUAUGUGAAUUGCUUCAUCUGUUUUUCUGGGGAGCUGUAUAUCCAAAUUGUAAUGCUUCUUGGAAGGGUGUGCUGGAUACAAACUUUCACAUGUUCAUUGUUCAUCAGUGAAUAAAUUACACACUCAGUUUCAGGGUGGUUCAGGUUCUUAGUCAGAUUUUCCCUGUGCUUCCAACAGCCCCAGCCAGCUGUACUCAGAAACAGUCCUACAUAAAGCCAAAUCUUCAGAGAGCAACAUAAAAUUUAAUUUACACUCACCUUGCUCUUCUGAGGUAAAUAACUGUGUCAUUUUCCCUUUUUGUUUAAAGGACAAUACUAAACCAGAAAUUGACUUGCCUAUGGUAACACAGCAAGUUAGUGGCAGAAGAAGGGUUGGCAUUCAAAAAUCACUGGAAUUUUGAGGCUUUUCUCUACACAGGGAAACCAGCUGUGCAUCCUUCAUUCUGUAACAGCUCUGUCAAGCAGAGACUAGUGUGUGACUGCUCUAUAAAAGAGAAGAGAGUCCUUU